UCCUACAGCACCCCAGGAGGUCGGGGCAGAGCUGGCAGGAGGGGCUGAGCAGCCUGAGAUCCUGGCUGGGCAGAGAGAAAAUGGGUCUGCAGCCUGAACACAAGGCUCUGUGGUCGGAUCUGUGACAUCGAAAGUUGGGGGUCCUGAGCCAAUCUCUUCCUCUCUCUGAGCCUCAAGAUAGCGAAUAAUCUCCAAAACCACUUACUGAUGAUUCCUGACUCCAUUAAGAAAAGCACCCUGCAAAAAUCAUACAUCAAGUAGCUUCCUCUUUCCACGAAGGAAAUUGUGCAGAGCAAUUCGCUGACUCGCCAAACAUCCCAGAGCUCACUAAUGCUGGAGCAGAGUGCCUCUGAGUGAGAGCGGCUGCUGUGAAGCAAGAUGAAGAGGAAAGGGGCUCGUGUGGUUUCCACCAAGUAAGAAAAAGGAAAGAAAGAAAAUCCAAUACAGAAAGGGCAAUCUUCUGGGUAGAUGCCCCUCUUCUCUUCUUGAAGCACCCUCUAUCUCCCACAACUCCAAACAGUAUUACAGUAUAAUCCUUAAACUGAAUUCUGAGAGGACAAGAAUCUUACUCAUUUCCCUUUCCCGGUGCCCAAUAAUAGCAGCCCAGAGGGGCUCACAAAAUACAGGCUGAAGAAAUGGAAAACACAGAGUACACUCAGGCAGAACACUGGACAAAGCAGCAAAAUUGAUACUUUCUUCAAGGAGCUUCCCCUUAAAGGGGAAUUCUUUUGGGGGGUGAGGGGCAAUUCUUAACUUUUUUCUUUUUUGAGCAAGGGAACAGCGUUCAUGGCCAGCAGGUGGGUCCAGAGUAAUGGCUUACCAACGUUCUGCUAGCCAGUCACACGUUUGAGCAUUAUUUUUA